AACGCUGGCGGCGUGUCUUAGCAUGCAAGUCGAGCGGCAAGGGGUAGCAAUAUCCCCUAGAGCGGCGGACUGGUGAGUAACGCGUGGAUGAUCUACCUAGAGGGCAUGGGGAUAGCCAUUAGAAAUAGUGGGUAAUACCGAAUACGCUCACGCAGGUGAAGCUGUGUGAGGAAAGGUGCUACGGCGCCGGCCUGUAGAUGAGUUCGCGUCCCAUUAGUUAGUUGGUGAGGUAAAGGCCCACCAAGGCGAUGAUGGGUAGCCGGCCUGAGAGGGUGUACGGCCACACUGGGACUGAGAUACGGCCCAGACUCCUACGGGAGGCAGCAGCUAAGAAUAUUCCGCAAUGGACGGAAGUCUGACGGAGCGACGCCGCGUGGAUGACGAAGGCCGAAAGGUUGUAAAAUCCUUUUGCUGGGGAAGAAUAAGUCUGGGAGGGAAUGCCCGGAUGAUGACAUGAACCGGCGAAUAAGCCCCGGCCAACUACGUGCCAGCAGCCGCGGUAACACGUAGGGGGCGAGCGUUGUUCGGAAUUACUGGGCGUAAAGGGCAUGUAGGCGGUUUUGUAAGCCYGGSGUGAMAGAUCACAGCUUAACUGUGGGAUUGCGUUGGGAACUGCGAGGCUAGAGUUAUGGAGAGGGAGCUAGAAUUCCUGGUGUAGGGGUGGAAUCUGUAGAGAUCAGGAAGAAUACCAAUGGCGAAGGCAAGCUUCUGGCCGAUGACUGACGCUGAGGUGCGAAAGUGUGGGG
rnacentral:rRNA from 1 species